rnacentral:rRNA from 1 species
GACGAACGCUGGCGGCGUGCCUAACACAUGCAAGUCGAGCGAGUGAAUCUCCUUCGGGAGUGAAGCUAGCGGCGGACGGGUGAGUAACACGUGGGCAACCUGCCUCAUAGAGGGGAAUAGCCUUUCGAAAGGAAGAUUAAUACCGCAUAAGAUUGUAGCUUCGCAUGAAGUAGCAAUUAAAGGAGCAAUCCGCUAUGAGAUGGGCCCGCGGCGCAUUAGCUAGUUGGUGAGGUAAUGGCUCACCAAGGCGACGAGGCGUAGCCGACCUGGGAGGGUGAUCGGCCCCAUUGGGACUGAGACACGGCCCAGACUCCUCCGGGAGGCAGCAGUGGGGAAUAUUGCACAAUGGGGGAAACCCUGAUGCAGCAACGCCGCGUGAGUGAUGACGGCCUUCGGGUUGUAAAGCUCUGUCUUCAGGGACGAUAAUGACGGUACCUGAGGAGGAAGCCACGGCUAACUACGUGCCAGCCGCCGCGGUAA